UCCCAACCCGGGCUCCCGGACCUUGAAGGGGGAGAAGGCACCUCUGCUGCAAGUGUUUCAAUGCUGCCACUAGCAUCUCUGUCCCAGAGGUUAGCGCAGAUAAGAAAGC